CUACGGGUGGCUCCAGUGAGGAAUAUUGCACAAUGGGGGGAACCCUGAUGCAGCAACGCCGCGUGGAGGAUGACGCAUUUCGGUGUGUAAACUCCUUUUAUAUGUCAAGAAAAUGACGGUAGCAUAUGAAUAAGCACCGGCUAACUCCGUGCCAGCAGCCGCGGUAAUACGGAGGGUGCAAGCGUUACUCGGAAUCACUGGGCGUAAAGGACGCGUAGGCGGGUUGGAAAGUCAGGUGUGAAAUCCUACAGCUUAACUGUAGAACUGCACUUGAAACUUCUAAUCUAGAGUAUGGGAGGGGGAGAUGGAAUUAGUGGUGUAGGGGUAAAAUCCGUAGAUAUCACUAGGAAUACCUAAGGCGAAGGCGAUCUCCUGGAACAUUACUGACGCUAAGGCGUGAAAGCGUGGGGGGCAAACAGGAUUAGAUACCCUCGUAGUC
rnacentral:rRNA from 1 species